GUUAAUGGUCAUACCACCCUGAACAUGCCCAAUCUUGUCUGAUCUCAGAAGCUAAACAGUGUAGAGCCUGGUACUUGAAUGGGAGACUGCUUGGGAAUACUUAGUGCUUUUGGCU
ensembl:rRNA 5S_rRNA 5S ribosomal RNA